rnacentral:rRNA from 1 species
AUUGAACGCUGGCGGCAUGCCUCACACAUGCAAGUCGAACGGCAGCACGGGAGCAAUCCUGGUGGCGAGUGGCGAACGGGUGAGUAAUAUGUCGGAACGUGCCCAGUCGUGGGGGAUAACGUAGCGAAAGCUACGCUAAUACCGCAUACGAUCUAUGGAUGAAAGCGGGGGAUCGCAAGACCUCGCGCGAUUGGAGCGGCCGAUAUCAGAUUAGGUAGUUGGUGAGGUAAAGGCUCACCAAGCCGACGAUCUGUAGCUGGUCUGAGAGGACGACAAGCCACACUGGGACUGGGACACGGCCCAGACUCCGACGGGAGGCAGCAGUGGGGAAUUUUGGACAAUGGGCGCAAGCCUGAUCCAGCAAUGCCGCGUGCAGGAUGAAGGCCUUCGGGUUGUAAACUGCUUUUGUACGGAGCGAAAAGGCUUCCACUAAUACUGGGGGCUCAUGACGGUACCGUAAGAAUAAGCACCGGCUAACUACGUGCCAGCCGCCGCCGUAAGAC